UGAACGCUGGCGGCAGGACCUAACACAUGUCAAGUCCGAACGGUAACAGGAAGCAGCUUGCUGCUUCGCUGACGAGUGGCGGACGGGUGAGUAAUGUCUGGGAAACUGCCUGAUGGAGGGGGAUAACUACUGGAAACGGUAGCUAAUACCGCAUAACGUCGCAAGACCAAAGAGGGGGACCUUCGGGCCUCUUGCCAUCGGAUGUGCCCAGAUGGGAUUAGCUAGUAGGUGGGGUAACGGCUCACCUAGGCGACGAUCCCUAGCUGGUCUGAGAGGAUGACCAGCCACACUGGAACUGAGACACGGUCCAGACUCCUACGGGAGGCAGCAGUGGGGAAUAUUGCACAAUGGGCGCAAGCCUGAUGCAGCCAUGCCGCGUGUAUGAAGAAGGCCUUCGGGUUGUAAAGUACUUUCAGCGGGGAGGAAGGCGAUAAGGUUAAUAACCUUGUCUAUUGACGUUACCCGGAGAAGAAGCACCGGCUAACUCCGUGCCAGCAGCCGCGAUAAUACGGAGGGUGCAAGCGUUAAUCGGAAUUACUGGGCGUAAAGCGCACGCAGGCGGUCUGUCAAGUCGGAUGUGAAAUCCCCGGGCUCAACCUGGGAACUGCAUUCGAAACUGGCAGGCUAGAGUCUUGUAGAGGGGGGUAGAAUUCCAGGUGUAGCGGUGAAAUGCGUAGAGAUCUGGAGGAAUACCGGUGGCGAAGGCGGCCCCCUGGACAAAGACUGACGCUCAGGUGCGAAAGCGUGGGGAGCAAACA
rnacentral:rRNA from 1 species